rfam:Schistosoma margrebowiei strain Zambia genome assembly, scaffold: SMRZ_contig0003269
GUGAAUAUACCCAUCUCUUUAUAAUUAUUUGUCAUAUUACCAUUAUUCUAUUCAUAAAGGAAUUGACGGAAGGGCACCACUAGUAGUGAAGACCGCUGUUUAAUUCGACACAACACAGGAAAACUCACUAGACCCGGACACUGUGAGGAUUGACAGAUUGAUAGCUCAUUCUUGAUUCGGUAGGUGGUGGUGCAUGGCCGUUCCUAGUUUGUGGAGCGAUUUGUCGGGUUAAUUCCUAUAACGAACGAGACUUUAACCUGAUAAAUAGUAGACUGGUCCUCUGUCCUCGCUUAGAGCGCGGCUUCUAUUGCUUCUUUAUGGGGUAGUGUGUUCGCCGCACAAUUAAGUCGCAAGAAAUCGAGCAAUAACAGGUCUGUGAUGCUCUUAGACGUCCGGGGCCACAUAUGCGCUACAAUGACGGUGCCAAUGAGUCUGGAAACCUGGCCCGAAGAUGUUGGCCAAACUGUUUCAUCACCAUCGUGACUGGGCUCAUGGCCCGCAAUUAUUCCCCGUGAACGAGGAAUUCCUGGUCAGUGCAAGUCAUAAGCUUGCACUGAUUACGUCCCUGUCCUUUGUACACAACGCCCGUCGUUUCUACCGAUUAGAUGGUUCAGUGAGAUCAUUGGAUUGGUGUCGUUGUAGUAGCUUUGCCGCUCGACUGAUACUGGGAAGAUGACCUAGUUUGACUAUUUAAAGGAAGUAAAAGUCGUAAUAAGGUUUCCGUAGGUGAACCUGCGGAGU